rnacentral:lncRNA from 1 species
ACAAAGUAUUGAACUACGAGGCACUUUGACAACUCUCAAGACACGCAACGCUCUCGACACAGCAACCAACCACAUCUACGAAGAAUCUCCAGAAUGGCUAAUUGUGAGCAAAAGAAGCUGAGGAUUGUCCUCAUUGAAAAGACUGAAACCGACCUUUCGAAAAAGAUUAAAGGCAUCCUGGAAGAAUCCUUCAACUUGGUGACGACUCUGACCGGAGAUAAUGAAAGUGUAAUCGACGAGGGAGAAGAACACAAUAUAUUCAAAGAUUUUGAUCCAUCCAUCUUUUCUCCAGGUCCCCAUGUGUUUUUGCUCAUAUACAUGGGGGAUUUAUCUCCUUCAUCAGGUGAUGCGAAAAGAAUCCAACGCAUUAAAGAAUUCUUUGGUGAAGCAUCAAAGCCUUACUUUUUACCUUUGAUCAUCCACAAAAAUACAACAUUGGACACGGGGAAAAAAAAAGACAUAUUAUAUUCUAUUGAGAAAGAUUUAGAACUUAGCAGGAAGACAUACUGUGCACUUUGCUGCGAAGGUGGGAAGGUCAAUGAAAACGAAAUAAAAAACCUAGUUGUCAAGAUCAAUGAGGUGGUCAACAAGAACAAGAACAAAGAAACAUACACAAAGGAAAUGUUUGAUGAGGCACAAAAAGUCAUCAGGCUUAAAAAUGUGCAAGAAUCAAACAGCAAGGGAAAGACAGGUGAUGGAAACCAAGGUCAUAACAAGAAUGCAACAGACAAAGAUGCAAUUCGUGCAAUGCUCUCAGGUGGAUUUGCCAAAAGAACAGUGAAGGCACAGAACUCUUAAAGUAUGAAAGUUCAUGUUAACAUGACUGAUUUACUCAAAUGAAAUAAGUCAGACAGACAAAGAAGAGAGAAAUAUUUGAUGCCUUUAAUCCGAGUUAUUAAUCUGACAGACUUGGUUCCUCUGCAGAUUGAGAUCAAAACAACAAAUUAUAAACAAAGUACUUUAUAAUUAACAUAACCUGCAUUAAAGGAGAAGAGACAUUUACAUUAAAUUUAAUGAACUCCAAUUUUCCAGCUGCAAUAUUAUAUUCUGAAUGAUUUUAAUGCAAAUACUUCUACGGUGUUUUUUUCUUUGCUUUUUUUGCUUUAUUAAUAGCAAAGAUUUAUGAGACAGGUGUGACCUUUGUUGUGCGUUCAGUGUAAAUGCAGCGCUGUGAUACCACCUCAGCUCAGCUGCUGCAGUUAGAGGGAAACCUGACAACUGAUGUUUUCUGGAGAACCUGCAGCACAGUCUGUAGUUUCCUGUCAAAGCUGUUAAAAGUUCUUUUCAUUUGUGUUCUGAAAUGUGUUAAAGCCUGAUGGAUUUUGUGCUUCCACUCAGUGGACUUGUUUAAAAGAACGAUUGUUAAAUUUCACUCACAGCUCUUCUUCCUUUCUUUGUUGUGCUUUUCUUUAUUUUAUCAUGUCAUGCAGUUAAAAUGCUGAUCAGUGUGUGAAAAUAUAUUGCUCCAAUCGAUUUUGAACAACAGAAUCAGAUCAAUCAAUAAAUAAUGAUUUGAGUAAAUGCAUUA